CCUACGGGGGGCAGCAGUGAGGAAUAUUGGUCAAUGGGCGCAAGCCUGAACCAGCCAUCCCGCGUGCAGGAAGAAGGCGCUAUGCGUCGUAAACUGCUUUUCCAGGGGAAGAAAACCUGAUACGUGUAUUGGCUUGCCGGUACCCUGGGAAUAAGCAUCGGCUAACUCCGUGCCAGCAGCCGCGGUAAUACGGAGGAUGCGAGCGUUAUCGGGAUUUAUUGGGUCGAAGGGGGAUUAAUACGGAUGAAUUGAAAACCUUCAGCUUAACUGGAGACUUGCCAUUGAUACUGUUAGUCUUGAGUACGGUCAAGGUAGGCGGAAUGUGUAAUGUAGCGGUGAAAUGCUUAGAUAUUACACAGAACACCGAUUGCGAAGGCAGCUUACUGGGCCAUUACUGACGCUGAUGCACGAAAGCGUGGGGAGCGAACAGGAUUAGAUACCCUGGUAGUC
rnacentral:rRNA from 1 species